AAAGCUACCUGUCUCUAUAUGAAAAAAGGAGAAAAAAUGGACAGAGUGAAGCUCCAAAAAUCGGGUUGUUAGAUAGGGGAAGUGUUUAUCCACUCUCCUCUUGUCAAAAAAGAAACCGUGAGGAAAAAGCUACCUGUCAAUAUAUGAAAAAGAAUGAGGAAAAAGGGGACAGAGUGAAGCUCCAAAAAUCGAUUUGUUAGACAGGGGAAAUGCUUAUCCACUCUCUUCUUGUCAGAAAAAAAAGUCGUGAGGAAAAAGCUACCUGUCCUCAAAUUAUUUAGAAAGG
rnacentral:lncRNA from 1 species